rnacentral:rRNA from 1 species
CUACCCUUGACAUGUAUGGAACCCUGCUGAGAGGUGGGGGUGCCCGAAAGGGAGCCAUAACACAGGUGCUGCAUGGCUGUCGUCAGCUCGUGUCGUGAGAUGUUGGGUUAAGUCCCGCAACGAGCGCAACCCUUGUCCCUAGUUGCUACGCAAGAGCACUCUAGGGAGACUGCCGGUGACAAACCGGAGGAAGGUGGGGAUGACGUCAAGUCCUCAUGGCCCUUAUGGGUAGGGCUUCACACGUCAUACAAUGGUCGGAACAGAGGGUCGCCAACCCGCGAGGGGGAGCCAAUCCCAGAAAACCGAUCGUAGUCCGGAUCGCACUCUGCAACUCGAGUGCGUGAAGCUGGAAUCGCUAGUAAUCGCGGAUCAGCAUGCCGCGGUGAAUACGUUCCC